GCCCCUAUUGUCUAGUGGUUAGGACGCAGCCCUUUCAAGGCUAAAACCCGGGUUCGAAUCCCGGUAGGGGCA
rnacentral:tRNA from 1 species